GAAUAGGGCAUGCAGUACAAGGAACAGUACAUCAGAGCUGGAUUACACAAGAUCAGAAAUGAAACUGUAAUCAAAAGGCUGGCUGGUGGUGAUGUCAAACCAGGAAGUAGACAGACAGCACUGAGGAGUUGAGACCCAGGAACUGCCGCUACCAAGCCAACACACACCCCCGAGCACUUCCUUCACUACGCAAUCAAAACACCAGCACCACGACUCCCAGGAUUUAAAGAGCACUGUGGACGUGGACUGGGGAUUUGUUGUAUCUUUUGUUUGGGUCUACAAGCCCGCCAUGUACCCCCCGAUACCAUCGCUGGUAGAGGGGCGGCCCUUUUUGUUAUUUAUUAAUAAACACAGACUUUUUGGGAG